UACAUGGGAUGCAAGCGUUAUUCGGAUUUACUGGGCGUAAAGAGUCCGCGGGUGGAUUUGCAAGUCUGGUGUAAAAUACAACUGCUUAACGGAUGUAUGCAUUGGAAACUGCAAAGCUAGAGUGUAGUAGAGAGUUUUGGAACUCCAUGUGGAGCGGUGGAAUGCGUAGAUAUAUGGAAGAACACCAGUGGCGAAGGCGAAAACUUAGGCUAUUACUGACACUUAUGCACGAAAGUGUGGGGAGCAAAUAGG
rnacentral:rRNA from 1 species